rnacentral:rRNA from 1 species
UACGGAGGAUGCAAGCGUUAUCCGGAUUUAUUGGGUUUAAAGGGUGCGUAGGUGGUUUGAUAAGUCAGCGGUGAAAGUUUGCAGCUUAACUGUAAAAAUGCCGUUGAAACUGUCGGACUUGAGUGUAAAUGAGGUAGGCGGAAUGCGUGGUGUAGCGGUGAAAUGCAUAGAUAUCACGCAGAACUCCGAUUGCGAAGGCAGCUUACUAAGCUACAACUGACACUGAAGCACGAAAGCGUGGGGAGUCAAACAGGAUUAGAUACCCGGGUA